UGGAAACAACCUCUCUGUCCUUUCGGGUAAGGGUAAGGCGUGUCUACAUAUUACCCUCCCCAUACCCCACUUUGUGAGACUAUACUUGGUAGUUGUUGUUGUUGUUGUUGUAUGUAAGACUAGGCAGAAUUGAGGUGCUUAAAUGCAGACAAGUUAGAGUCAUUCAAGAUCUACAUAUCCCCGUCAAUGCUCUUUGUAUGAUGGGGAAAGGUGACUCAAAAGCAUAUGCGUCGGUAAGAACCCUCCAAAUAUAACAAAAAGCAACAAAAGUAUAGUAAAUAAAGUUGCUUCCUUCAAGAGCAAAAAUAAAAUAAAAAUUGGUCUUGUACCAAAUUUAUGCCUGUUUGAUUUGGGACAAAAAUUUUGAUUUCUUAGGUUGUGGUGUUCAUAGUGCAAAUUUUUCUAAUUUUAGCUGGUUUAUUUGCAUUAGGGUUGUAAGUUAGGAGUAGUAGAACUUUCUUUACUUCAUACUGGGGGUGAGGCGGGG
rnacentral:lncRNA from 1 species